CACGUAGGGGGCGAGCGUUGUCCGGAAUCAUUGGGCGUAAAGAGCUCGUAGGCGGCUCGGUAAGUCGGGUGUGAAACCCCCAGGCUCAACCUGGGGACGCCACCCGAUACUGCUGUGCUAGAGUCCAGUAGGGGAGUGUGGAAUUCCCGGUGUAGCGGUGAAAUGCGCAGAUAUCGGGAGGAACACCAGCGGCGAAGGCGGCACUCUGGGCUGGAACUGACGCUGAGGAGCGAAAGCGUGGGGAGCAAACAGG
rnacentral:rRNA from 1 species